ensembl:lncRNA
GAAUUUAGCCAGGACACCAGGGUUAACACCCCUACUCUUACAAUAAGUGCCAUGGGAUCUUUAAUAACCUCAGAGAGUCAGGACACCCGUUUAACGUCCUAACCCGAAAGACGGAACCCUACACAGGGCAAUCACAGCCCUGGGGCAUUGGGGUAUUUUUUUUUAGACCAGAGGAAAGAGUGCCUCCUUACUGGCCCUCCAACACCACUUCCAGCAGCAUCUGGUCUCCCGUCCAGGAACUGACCAGGACCAACCCUGCUUAGCUUCAGAAGCAAGCCAGCAGUGGUAUGCAGGGUGGUAUGCUGCUGGCAAUACUGCUGGCAACUGAAGAUGAAAUAAAAAUCUACUUCAAACAGCCAAUAGAAAAAAGUCUGAGGCCCGAAAAACAGGUGGGGAUCCACCAGCACUCAGAGGCUGAAGAAAUGGCCCUCAGUCAAAACAGUGGGCGACCUAUUGCUGAAGGCAUCUCUGGAGGAAGCUCAUCUGAACCAACCACUCCCCAGGACACAAGGGCCUACAUGAGGAGGAUGAUGAAGACACCUUGUCAGUUGCCACAGAGAGGGAAGAUGGCCUAUUGAGGUUUACACCUUAAAAAUAACAUUUAACAGUUGAUGAUAGUGUUGUACCAUAAUAAACUUGCACCUUAUUUUUCUCUAACAGAGCAAUGUUGGAAAUUACAGGAGGAACAGGGUCCAUCCACCUCCACAGCACAACUUACCUCAGAAAUGAAGACUCCAUAAAAAGAAAGGCAUAUUGUCUUUAUUUGACACGGGAGGAGAUGGGUCAAUCAGAAAUGCUGUGUCUAUGACUACUCUUCCAUCUCGUGUGUCAGCGGGGUGGUCAGGAUCGUUAUCAGGAUUGUGCGCUGGUUGAGUAGGACAUUGUUCUCCUCUAAUUGUGGAAAUGUUGUGGAGAAUCACACAUGCCACAAUGAUGUCACAUGCCCUUUCUGGGGUGACCCUGAGCCUACGAAGGCACUGGAACCAGGCCUUGGGCAUCCCAAUUGUCAUCUCUACCUCAGGAUCAGGGUAAGGGGUCAGCAAAUAGGACUGGCAGGUUUACCCUCUGUCACCGAGCAGGUAACCAUCGAACUGUCCUAUGAUAAUACGAGGAUACAGUUUUGUUCAGUUGCAAUUGGAGGAAACAAAAUAUUGUAAUAGGAUAUAAUAAGAUAUAGCUAUAUACACUACUGUUCAAAAGUUUGGGGUCAAUUAGAAAUGUCCUUGUUUUUAAAGAUUAGAUUUUUUAAAAUGUCAGUUUUAUUGCUUCUUUAAAAUCAGAACAAUAGUUUUCAGCUGUGCUAACAUAAUUGCCAAAGGGUUUUCUACUGAUCAAAAAGCCUUUUAAAAUUAUAAACUUGGAUUAGUUAACACAACGUGCCAUUGGAACACAGGAGUGAUGGUUGCUGAUAAAUGGGCCUC